rnacentral:tRNA from 1 species
GCCUGGAUGGCUCAGUUGGUUGAGCAUCAGACUUCUGCUCAGGUCAUGGUCUCAUGGUUCGUGAGUUUGAGUCCCAUAUCGGGCU